rnacentral:rRNA from 1 species
GACGUAGGGCGCGAGCGUUGUCCGGAUUUAUUGGGCGUAAAGAGCUCGUAGGCGGUUUGUCGCGUCGGGAGUGAAAUCCACUGGCUUAACUGGUGGCUUGCUUUCGAUACGGGCAGACUGGAGGCAUGCAGGGGAGAACGGAAUUCCUGGUGUAGCGGUGAAAUGCGCAGAUAUCAGAGGAACACCGGUGGCGAAGGCGGUUCUCUGGGCAUGUCCUGACGCUGAGGAGC